rnacentral:piRNA from 1 species
UGGCCUGAGCCUCCCCAAGGGUUGCCACC